rnacentral:rRNA from 1 species
GGACUAGGGGUCAACCUGCUGCGCAUUAACCGUGCUGAACGUUACCAGGGUGGCCGUCGGAUUUCAGGCCUGUGUAUCUCUUAGAGGCGGGCGCUCAGACAUCUCAGACCUACACUUGACUGGGGCAUAGCCCAGAUUAAUUUGGAUUAAUACCUCAUAGUAUAAUUGAGUGGCAUCACUUACUUAUUAAAGAUUUAUCGGUGAAAGAUGAGCAUGCGUCCCAUUAGCUAGUUGGUAUGGUAACGGCAUACCAAGGCAACGAUGGGUAGGGGUCCUGAGAGGGAGAUCCCCCACACUGGUACUGAGACACGGACCAGACUCCUACGGGAGGCAGCAGUGAGGAAUAUUGGACAAUGGGCGCAAGCCUGAUCCAGCCAUGCCGCGUGCAGGAUGACGGUCCUAUGGAUUGUAAACUGCUUUUAUA